AGGGAAGGAGAGAAAGAGAGAGAGAUCCCGAGAAAGGAGUACGCAGUACUUUUAUUAUCCCAGAUUUCUCCAAAAAGUCUGUCCAUUUCCACAGGGCUCAUUGUCUCAUGGUCCUCCA